GAAUAAGAGGUGUCGACACGGAAGUCCAAAAUUAUUGAAGAAAGUACAGGAGCAACUAGUCAAAUCCAAAUUAGCAGUGUAACGGCCAGUGUUGGUUGCUGUGAUUAAUUGGUUCCCAUCCUGGCAAGAUGUAGUUGUCGCCUUGAAUUGUUCAAUUACCCGAUCCACCGCAUAAGGCGUAUAGAUUUUACGUAACCGCUCCAUGAUAGGAUGCAACUUCUGAACCGGAAAUCGAAUUUUCAACUCAUUUCCUUUCUUUUUUCGAUCAAACUCUCUCAUUUGGCUAAUGUCAAGCAAUACUUGUAUCAGCUCGGGAAAUCUUACUUGCCGAUUACGGACGUGAAUACCGUUCGAUUCUGUUCGUCGUGUGAUUGUCCAUCAUGAAUAGAGUUCUUCUAUAAAAACGGCCCAAUAUUCUGUAAUAUUAAACCAAUUGGUUUCGAAAUAAUGCCCAAGUCCGUCGUAC